GGAGACGUCGCCUAGUCCGGUCUAUGGCGCCCGCCUGCUAAGUGGGAGGGGACCAAAAUCCCCACGUGGGUUCAAAUCCCACCGUCUCCG
rfam:Actinobacterium acAMD-5 AMD-COM-C53, whole genome shotgun sequence.